rnacentral:piRNA from 1 species
UAACCGAAAUUUAGUAACACGUCCGACC